rnacentral:tRNA from 1 species
CAAAUUAUAGUUUAUUUCAAAACACUAGCUUUGGGAGUUAGAAAAGUAAAUAAUUUUACUAAUUUGA